AUUGAACGCUGGCGGCAUGCCUUACACAUGCAAGUCGAACGGUAGCGGGCCUUCGGGUGCCGACGAGUGGCGAACGGGUGAGUAAUGUAUCGGAACGUACCUUUCAGUGGGGGAUAACGUAGCGAAAGUUGCGUUAAUACCGCAUAUUCUGUGAGCAGGAAAGCAGGGGAUCGCAAGACCUUGCGCUGAUUGAGCGGCCGAUAUCAGAUUAGCGAGUUGGUGAGGUAAAGGCUCACCAAGGCGACGAUCUGUAGCGGGUCUGAGAGGAUGAUCCGCCACACUGGAACUGAGACACGGUCCAGACUCCUACGGGAGGCAGCAGUGGGGAAUUUUGGACAAUGGGGGCAACCCUGAUCCGGCCAUGCCGCGUGAGUGAAGAAGGCCUUCGGGUUGUAAAGCUCUUUCGGCCGGGAAGAAAUCGUAUCAGCUAAUACCUGGUGCGGAUGACGGUACCGGCAUAAGAAGCACCGGCUAACUACGUGCCAGCCGCCGCGGUAAGAC
rnacentral:rRNA from 1 species